UUUCCGUAGGUGAACCUGCGGAAGGAUCAUUAUUGUAUAACGGAGAUGCCAGGUCUUUCGCUGAUACGAAACUUCUUUGAAGCCCGAGUGCCCUUACUCACAUCCAUCUCACCCCUAUGUCCACUACCUCGAGUGUCUCCUUUUAGCUUAUUCUGAGGGGACCUUACGUUUUCACCUUACAUUAACAUAUCGCGUAGAACGUAUUUUUUGGUUUUGCGCACACGCAAGCAAUACAACUUGCAACAACGCAACUCUUUACCCUCGCAUCGAUGAAGAACC
rnacentral:misc_RNA from 1 species